rnacentral:rRNA from 1 species
AUACGGAGGGUGCAUGCGUUACUCGGAAUCACUGGGCGUAAAGCGCGCGCAGGCGGUCUUUUAAGUUGGAUGUGAAAGCCUACGGCUCAACCGUAGAACUGCAUCCAAAACUAUUAGACUAGAGUGUGGGAGAGGAAGAUGGAAUUAGUUGUGUAGGGGUAAAAUCCGUAGAGAUAACUAGGAAUACCAAAAGCGAAGGCAAUCUUCUGGAACACUACUGACGCUGAGGCGCGAAAGCGUGGGGAGCAAACAGGAUUAGAAACCCUAGUAGUCC